UAGUCCGUUAAAAUCCUUGCAACUUGUCGCAAUCUUAACUGCUGAACGAGAUGGUGACACCCUCAAAGCUGCAUCAAAUACUUUGGCUGAACUUAGUCAACUUGGUUGGCUCAGAAAAUAUUUCACGUUCCAGUGCAAGAGAGCCGGUGAGAUAAACAAAAGCUUGCUGACACUUUGUCGAGUCAUAAAUGCCUCGGUUAAACAUUCUGCUCAUAUACCCUACAGAGAUAGCAAGUUAAUGAGGUUGCUGAAAGAUUAUUUGGGAGGG